CAGGAACUCAAAUGCCAGCACAGCCGACGAAGCUGACUAACCACAAAAAUGCCAACUCACCAGACUGAGGAGAAAGAGCUGCUCUGAGCGAAAAUCAGUCAUUGCGGAAGAUGAGGCACAAAAAGGAUUUGAAACCACAAUAAAAAUGAGCCUUAACCAGUUAUGAAGCAGUUGACAAACAAACAAUGAGGCAUUCAACCAAGCCAACACCAUUCCCGAGCUCCAGUCUAGACUAAGUGGCACAGAAACGACUGACCAAGCGCUAAGGCAGGUGCAUGAGGAACUGAGAUGCCAGGUGGACUGUGCUGGAGUAAAGCCUCUCAGGAUUCCUGACACACGGUUGUAACCCAGACUUCCUGCUCACAACCAAACUCGUCGCUGCAGGGACCCUGGGAGGCAGUGGGAUACAUCACACAAGAAUGUUCCACAAGAAAAGGCACGGCAGCUGAUUUUGCUCUAGAAGAAGGAAAACAGUUUUCACGGACUCUAGUAAUACUAAUGUCCUACGGUGAAGACAGGAGACCUCCCCAUGGGACUGGUCUGGUUCGAAGGCCUGCAUCCACCACAAGGGGAGAGGACGCUGGGAGAAAUUGCCUGUCGUUGAGGU